AUGACAUAUUUAUCGUCCUCUAAACUCUAUGAGUUUCCUGGCAGCAGCUGCUCACUCCUCUACACAGCCACGACCGCACGGCCAGCCGCUUCUCCGAGCGCGCGCCGCCUCCGCCGCCCACGCGCGCUGCCGGAGACGGCGCUGGUGGCGGCCGGGGUGGCGGCGGCGGGGGUGGCCGCCGCCGUGCUCCUGCGGGGCGACCGGAAGGCGGAGCAGCCGGCGCCCACAGAGAAGCAGGAGGCGUCGGAGGAGUGCUCCGCGUGCGGCGGGAGCGGCCUCUGCCCGCGGUGCAAGGGGGAGGGGUUCGUGUUCAAGGAGGUCGGCGAGGAGGCGGCCGGCCGGGCGCGGCGGGCCGCCAAGAACAUGGCCACCCGCUACACCGCCGGCCUCCCCACCAAGUGGACCUACUGCACCCGCUGCUCCUCCACCCGCUCCUGCACCGCCUGCGACGGCUCCGGCGCCGUCCCCUUCCGCGCCAAGACCACCACCACCACCAAUUAG
rnacentral:rRNA from 1 species